rnacentral:rRNA from 1 species
CAGUAGCCACGGUAAUACGUAGGUGGCAAGCGUCGUCCGGAAUUAUUGGGCGUAAAGGGCUCGCAGGCGGUUUCUUAAGUCUGAUGUGAAAGCCCCCGGCUCAACCGGGGAGGGUCAUUGGAAACUGGGAAACUUGAGUGCAGAAGAGGAGAGUGGAAUUCCGCGUGUAGCGGUGAAAUGCGUAGAGAUGUGGAGGAACACCAGUGGCGAAGGCGACUCUCUGGUCUGUAACUGACGCUGAGGAGCGAAAGCGUGGGGAGCGAACAGGAUUAGAUACCCCCGUAGUCCCUGUCUCUUAUAC